rnacentral:rRNA from 1 species
UACGGAGGAUCCAAGCGUUAUCCGGAUUUAUUGGGUUUAAAGGGUGCGUAGGCGGCCUAUUAAGUCAGGGGUGAAAGACGGUAGCUUAACUAUCGCAGUGCCCUUGAUACUGACGGGCUUGAAUGUACUUGAGGUAGGCGGAAUGUGACAAGUAGCGGUGAAAUGCAUAGAUAUGUCACAGAACACCAAUUGCGAAGGCAGCUUACUAAAGUAUGAUUGACGCUGAGGCACGAAAGCGUGGGGAUCAAACAGG